UACGUAGGGGGCUAGCGUUGUCCGGAUUUAUUGGGCGUAAAGAGCGUGUAGGCGGCCAGGUAGGUCCGUUGUGAAAACUCGAGGCUCAACCUCGAGACGUCGGCGGAAACCAUCUGGCUAGAGUCCGGAAGAGGAGAGUGGAAUUCCUGGUGUAGCGGUGAAAUGCGCAGAUAUCAGGAAGAACACCCGUGGCGAAGGCAGCUCGCUGGGACGUUACUGACGCUGAGACGCGAAAGCGUGGGGAGCAAACAGG
rnacentral:rRNA from 1 species